rnacentral:tRNA from 1 species
GGCACUAUAGCCAAGUGGUUACGGCGACAGAUUCGAAUCAUCCGAUUAUCUGUUCCUCUUUGAGGGCGCAGGUUCAAAUCCUGCUGGUGUCG